UACAGAGGGUGCGAGCGUUGUCCGGAAUCACUGGGCGUAAAGGGCGCGUAGGUGGCCCGACAAGUCACUGGUGAAAGCUCGAUGCUCAACAUCGAGUCGGCCAGUGAUACUGUUGGGCUGGAGCACUGUAGAGGCUAAUGGAAUUCCGGGUGUAGCGGUGGAAUGCGUAGAGAUCCGGAGGAACACCGGUGGCGAAGGCGGGUCUCUGGGCCGAUACUGACGCUGAGGAGCGAAAGCGUGGGGAGCGAACAGG
rnacentral:rRNA from 1 species